UCUAAGAUGAACGCAAUAAUGUCAAGCUACUGGUUCUACCCCCGUAGACGGUCAUACAAUCGAUUUCAAUUGAGACUUAAAUGUUAGUUAAACGUGAAUAAUUGCACGGGACAAGGAGACAUUUCAACACACACACACACGCUAGAAAACAAGAAACGCAAUUUAUUGUUGCUAUCUCGUAAAAAGAAGAAGAAGAAGAAGAAGAAGAAGAAGACGCAAAAUAAAAGAUUCGGCUAAAUAAACAGAGCGACAAGAGACCGUGACGAACGUGUGUGAGUGCCCGUAGGAAAGAAAGACAGAAAAAGGAAGAACAAAAAAGAAAAACAACAUCAGAAGCGCACACACAAUCGCCAUCAUCAUCAUCACAAUUCAUCGUGCGCCAAAAGCUAAUUUUCUUGCAAGUUUUCAGACCCGCAGCGUCUAAAGCUGCCAACCAACCAACGUCACUCGCUUUUAAUUAGUGAUGCUUGCCACUCGUCGCCUCGGCCAACAAAGUGUCUGUGUUGUUCUACACACGCACAGCUCCAUUGUUUAUUCAUUUCUUUUGUCCUUUUUUUUUCUUCCUCUCUUACCUCAAAACAGUGUUACGAAACGUCAGUUCUCUCUGCUAACUAAGGGGCAAUCAUCAUUAAAUGUAAAGCGAAAUAUUCAAUCAAAAAUAAAAAGAGGGGGCGAUCAAAAUGA